GACGAACGCUGGCGGCGUGCUUAACACAUGCAAGUCAAGGGGGCCCAGUAGCAAUACUGGGCAACCGGCGAACGGGUGCGUAACACGUGAGCAACCUACCGAAAUGUGGGGGAUAGCCGGCCUAACGGCCGAGUAAUACCGCAUACGCUCUCGAUGAGGCAUUUCAUUGAGAGGAAACCUACGGGACAUUUCGAGGGGCUCGCGGCCUAUCAGCUAGUUGGCGAGGUAACGGCUCACCAAGGCAACGACGGGUAGCUGGUCUGAGAGGAUGGCCAGCCACAUUGGGACUGAGAUACGGCCCAGACUCCUACGGGAGGCAGCAGUGGGGAAUCUUGCGCAAUGGCCUAACGGCUGACGCAGCGACGCCGCGUGUGGGAUGAAGCUC
rnacentral:rRNA from 1 species